GAUGAACGCUGGCGGCGUGCCUAAUACAUGCAAGUAGAACGCUGAAGGAAGGAGCUUGCUCUUUCCGGAUGAGUUGCGAACGGGUGAGUAACGCGUAGGUAACCUGCCUGGUAGCGGGGGAUAACUAUUGGAAACGAUAGCUAAUACCGCAUAACAGUAGAUGUUGCAUGAUAUCUACUUAAAAGGUGCAAUUGCACCACUACCAGAUGGACCUGCGUUGUAUUAGCUAGUUGGUGAGGUAACGGCUCACCAAGGCGACGAUACAUAGCCGACCUGAGAGGGUGAUCGGCCACACUGGGACUGAGACACGGCCCAGACGCCUACGGGAGGCAGCAGUAGGGAAUCUUCGGCAAUGGACGGAAGUCUGACCGAGCAACGCCGCGUGAGUGAAGAAGGGUUUCGGAUCGUAUAGCUCUGUUGUAAGAGAAGAACGAGUGUGAGAGUGGAAAGUUCACACUGUGACGGUAUCUUACCAGAAAGGGACGGCUAACUACGUG
rnacentral:rRNA from 1 species